CAGCAGCCGCGGGAAUACAGAGGGUGCGAGCGUUAAUCGGAUUUACUGGGCGUAAAGCGCACGUAGGCGGGCUUUUAAGUCAGGGGUGAAAUCCCGGGGCUCAACCCCGGAACUGCCUUUGAUACUGGAAGUCUUGAGUAUGGAAGAGGUGAGUGGAAUUCCGAGUGUAGAGGUGAAAUUCGUAGAUAUUCGGAGGAACACCAGUGGCGAAGGCGGCUCACUGGUCCAUUACUGACGCUGAGGUGCGAAAGCGUGGGGAGCAAACAGGAUUAGAUACCCCCGUAGUCCCUGUCUCUUAUAC
rnacentral:rRNA from 1 species